AUGAAUGGUGAUGUUUCUCCAAGAGCGGUUACUCACUGAAGCUAAGCGGGGCUGAGCCUGGUCAGUACCUGGAUGGGAGACCACAUGAGAAAACUAGGCUGCUGUUGGCC
rnacentral:rRNA from 1 species